AUCCAAUGAGGAAGACAUCCCAAAAAAUUGAUAGGAAGUGCCGUAUGACACUUUAAACAGCCAGGGGUUU